AGUGAUCCCUCUCCACAUAACCCAGCCUGCUCAUCCUGUUACGGUCAUCCAAGUAAUCAUGAUUAUUAUAAUGAUGUGAGCCAGGCACAUAAUCAUUCCGAUGCUUGCCCUCAGGCAAUUUUUCUGGUGGGCUCCAUGACUUCCGCUUGCGGUUGCUUGACUUGGGCGAAUGAAAUCCCCGGUCCAUAUCAUCAGGAACUUCCCCUUCUUCCAUAAUGUUCAAAUCUGAUUUAUGUGACAAAUGCCCCUUCAUUCCUUGACGUUCUCCAUCCCCUGCAUCCUCUUGAUGGUUUUCAUGAUGCGGGUUUUCAUGCCUUUGCCUGUCCAAGGGCUUAGAAUAGCUCUGCCCUCCUGUCCCGCUUACUCUUCUCACUCUCAGCAGCUAGCUCGAUACCAGCUUCCAGUUCCCUCUCAAUGAAAUCAUCCUCAUCCAAGAAGUCAGUUUUCCUACUGACAUCACCCCUGGACUUCUUUCGUUUCUCCAAAGCUGCCUUUACUUUGUCUCUGUCAAUCUUUUUAAUAGCAUCUUGGGGUGACUGGCCUACUGUACCUUCUCUAUUUUCCAGAUUUCGACCAAAAUGUUUGUCUUUUAAUUCCCCUGCUUCACUGAUUUCAC
rnacentral:misc_RNA from 1 species